UUCAUUUCUCCCCUCCUCCCAAACUUCAUUCCUCAUCUCCUCCUCCCAAACCCUAGAGCGGCGGCAACUGAUGGAGAGAUUUUUCUUCAGCUAUUCUGAUUUUUCUUGAGCAAUCGAUUAUCGGCAUCGAUGUUUAUGUAAAGGAUGGAGAUUGUUCGAGAAAGAUUUGGAAAUCGACAGAUAAACUUAGAUCUAGGGUUUCUUAUAGAGAUAAAGUCUGGUUUAUUAGAUUAGUUUUGCUUGAAUUAUCUCUUACUAUGCAAAGUGAUUCUGAUUCAACGAUGUUUGCUUGCAUAGCGUUUUCAUGUCCGAAAUUCAAUCGAUGGAGAUUCAUUUAACGGAUAAGAGUGAUUGAACAAGAAACCCUAAUUGCUGUAACAUUAAAGAGGGAAGAAGGCUUGCAGAUUUUAAGUAUGCAUGUGUGGGCUAUUCAGUGAACAUGGAUAGCAAAGAUAAAGAUCCAUCUACUAAUGCUGAUGCAGGGGAAAGAAACCCAUCAAAUCCACAAGGAAAACGCUCUGAAUUGCCGUUUGUAUUGGUAUUGAGCUUUUGGUGGAUAAAAGACCUGUAUCAGCAACAGCAGGCCAAGCUCCAGGACAUGUUCCAGGCCGUGCUCCAGCAUAUACCCCAGCACAUGCUCGUAAAACGGAAGCUGCACACUGCCCUAUAAGAGAACUCUUAGAGAAGGAAAAGAAGGAAGAAGGGUCAGCGCUACCAGGGAAUACAUGGUUACCUCGGUCUCUAAACAUGGCGGAUCUUAAAUUUGCACAUACACUACUCAGGUGAGAAGACUUUACAAAGAAAAGGAACAUGCUGAGGUUGAGUUUCAUGUGUUAGAUUAUAGAGAAGUCUGGUCCGUCUCAGUUACUCAGCCAUAGCUGGAAAUUAUUAUCCAGUACCAACUCACUUCCUCUAGGUGCUGAGACGUAUUAUUAGAGCAGGUUAUGGGUAGUGUUUCAGAUUUGAGAGCGAAAGACAACAAAAGACUAACCAAGACAAGGCAGAGACCGUUAUGCGAGUUAUGUGCUUGUUUUAUUCUUAUAUGCUCUUAGUUGUAAACAAUUGUUGUAUGAGCAUUAUGCCGCACAUAACUUAGGAAUUCUCUUAAGUUUCUAAGCAGAUGUUGUAUUCCUUAAAACUUAGGAAUUCUGUUAAGUAGUUGUUGAAAGAAUACAACAAGUUACUGUUGACACCAUGUAUUCCCUUAGAAAUUUGAUACUUACAACCCGUUGGUUUCAAGGAAUUGUAUUCCUUGGAAUCCAAUUCCUGGGAA